GGGGGUGUCAAGGUUUCGACGGGGGACGGAAACGAAGUGCCGCAUGCCGGAGUGGGCUGGCUCCGUAACAAGCCCAACUUAACUAAACGCAGAUACUGACGUUAGUUACGCACUAGCAGCCUAAGGCUGUUACGUCUUGUCACUCAUUGCCUGUGUGGCUGAUGAGACGUUAAUUCAGCAGGCUAGUUUCAGCGAGUGUCUGUGGCGCCGAAGCGAAACUAAAGCAGACUCGCCUGGUGAAUAUCCUGUCUGUGGGAGCUUCAUCCGGUUAAUUUAAAAUACAGACUACGCAUGUAGAAGCCUUACGUGGAAAGCUUUCGGACGCGGGUUCGAUUCCCGCCACCUCCACCA
rfam:Desulfuromonadales bacterium C00003093 3730_contig_56670, whole genome shotgun sequence.